UAGCCUGCAAUGUCACAAACAAACGCACGUGAAACUUUACAUGGUUGGUGCUACAGUUCUUUGACACACUUCUUGCAUGAAUAACAGGAAGCAUAGUGGGAUCCCGACAGUAAGUGAGGUCUCUCUCUGCCUCUGAGAAAGGCCUUUGCAGUGUGGGUUCUCGGUUGAAAUUGUUUUACCACAUGGAACAACACAAAGAACUCGCACGGAGGACGUAUGAACAGGAAGGCAGUAUGCAAAUGAACCCCCAGGGAAAGGUCAACGUCUGGAAAUGUAAUGAUGACGUAUUUCUUAUGGGUUUUCUGUCACAGUGAUCCUAGAAGAUUUAUUAGGUAACAAAAUAAUCAGCUUGAACUUGUUAACGGAGACAGAGUCUGUGAGCUGGUCUUCAGCGCUCUCCCUUCUGGAUGGGAAUUUUGAUACUCAAGUUCCUGAGACUUCGUGUGCAAACUGAAACAGCUGGGAGGAUGGGAGCAGUCUGCCAUGCACGGCUCUCUGCUUUUCCAGAUCCGGAAAGCAUCUGAAUGCUUCGGAAGGAACUUCCACAGCACGCUUUGCCGUGGGAACUUACAACUAUGCCAGGUGGCCCAAGCAGACAGUGGUUGAUCUCAGGGGAGUCAGUCCUCGGCAGUGACUCCAGGAAGACUGUGGCAUUACCAACCAGUCACCAGAAUGGAGGAGCCGAGUCCCAGCUGUCUGACCUCUGACCCAGUGGGAGGGAGGCUAGAAGGUUGUGUUUGCCCACCGUCCACCACUGGUAAUAUAUACUUACAUGAUCCGAGCUUUGUGCCAGGAUGCCCUAUUUCCGUGCAUUCGUGGAAUUAUUGUAGGGAUAUACGUGUGGGUCAACUGCCCACCAGAAUUAAAAUAUUCGUGUUGGUGA